AUUGAACGCUGGCGGCAUGCCUUACACAUGCAAGUCGAACGGCAGCACGGGUGCUUGCACCUGGUGGCGAGUGGCGAACGGGUGAGUAAUACAUUGGAACGUACCUUAUCGGGGGGGAUAACGCAGCGAAAGUUGCGCUAAUACCGCAUACGCCCUGAGGGGGAAAGCGGGAGACCGUAAGGCCUCGCGCGAUUCGAGACGCCGAUGUCUGAUUAGCUUGUUGGUGAGGUAAAAGCUCACCCAGGCGAUAAUCAGUAGCUGGUCUGAGAGGACGAUCAGCCACACUGAGACUGAGACACGGCCCAGACUCCUACGGGAGGCAGCAGUGGGGAAUUUUGGACAAUGGGGGCAACCCUGAUCCAGCAAUGCCGCGUGAGUGAAGAAGGCCUUCGGGUUGUAAAGCUCUUUUGUCAGGGAAGAAACAGCAGCUCUAACACAGUCUGCGAAUGACGGUACCUGAAGAAUAAGCACCGGCUAACUACGUGCCAGCCGCCGCCGUAA
rnacentral:rRNA from 1 species